rnacentral:rRNA from 1 species
AUUGAACGCUGGCGGCAGGCCUAACACAUGCAAGUCGAGCGGAUGAAGGGAGCUUGCUCCUGGAUUCAGCGGCGGACGGGUGAGUAAUGCCUAGGAAUCUGCCUGGUAGUGGGGGAUAACGUCCGGAAACGGGCGCUAAUACCGCAUACGUCCUGAGGGAGAAAGUGGGGGAUCUUCGGACCUCACGCUAUCAGAUGAGCCUAGGUCGGAUUAGCUAGUUGGUGGGGUAAAGGCCUACCAAGGCGACGAUCCGUAACUGGUCUGAGAGGAUGAUCAGUCACACUGGAACCGAGACACGGUCCAGACUCCUACGGGAGGCAGCAGUGGGGAAUAUUGGACAAUGGGCGAAAGCCUGAUCCAGCCAUGCCGCGUGUGUGAAGAAGGCCUUCGGAUUGUAAAGCACUUUAAGUUGGGAGGAAGGGCAGUAAGUUAAUACCUUGCUGUUUUGACGUUACCAACAGAAUAAGCACCGGCUAACUUCGUG